rnacentral:rRNA from 1 species
CGGGACGGGGUGGAGUAAUGUCUGGGAAACUGCCUGAUGGAGGGGGAUAACUACUGGAAACGGUAGCUAAUACCGCAUAACGUCGCAAGACCAAAGAGGGGGACCGUUCGGGCCUCUUGCCAUCGGAUGUGCCCAGAUGGGAUUAGCUAGUAGGUGGGGUAACGGCUCACCUAGGCGACGAUCCCUAGCUGGUCUGAGAGGAUGACCAGCCACACUGGAACUGAGACACGGUCCAG